rnacentral:lncRNA from 1 species
UUUUACCUCAAGUGAUCUAUACUUCGGAGAGAAUAAGACAAAAUAAAAACGCCGUCGAUUCAAUUAAUAGGUAAAUUAUUAUUACGUUACGUCUUUUGUUUACGUGGUGUUACUAGUGUGACGUGGUCCCAUAUCAAGAAGUGAAUUAAUUACAGUCGAAGGGAACGAAAUUACAUGCGGCUGACUCAGAUAGACGGAUAAAAAAAAAACAAGGCAUGCGAAAAAAGUUGAAUCACGAAUAAUUGAUAUGAAAUUAUACGUUCCAAGCGGAUAAAAAAUAUGAAAUUAAUGGCAGUAGCAUAAGCGAUCGCGGAAUACGAUGCAUACGUACAAAGGAAGGUAGAAGAGGGAAAUUCUACACGUGGCAUUAUAUGCGAGUGUGAAAAUUUGAAAUUCAAAAUAACCGGCAAUAACCGCACAACAAACGGUAAGAUAGAUUGAAACGUAAUAUGUUUAUCUUGAUCAAUACGCGCCACAGCCAAAAAGUGAACGGACAGCAGUAUUACUAAUUUUUUAGUUAGUAAGCUCAACUGGAUGCGGAGGACCCAUCGAUAGAAGCCACGGAUGAAAGGGAAGGCGAUGGAGGCGAACUGAGAGGCGGACAAGAGUGACGGUCGAAUUGGCUUGCGAUUGCAACUUUAUUAACCCUCGGGGAAAAAGUCUUUGGAGCUGACUGAUCUGGCUGCAGUACAACUGUCCGUAAUGCAUCUGCUGAUAGUGAUUCUGGAUAUGUUGAUUAAUUCUGGCGAACUCGACGGCCGGCGAAAAAUGUUGUCGUUGUUGUUGAUGAUGAUGAUGUGGUGAAAAUACGUCACGCGUAUAAUGGUGUACUUCCGGCUGUACGAACGAGGGAUACUGCUGCUGCUGCUGCUGGUGAUGAUGAUGAUGAUGAUUAUGGUAUUGCUGCCACGCUGUUGAAUAAGAUGACUCUGCGAAUCAGGCGUCGCGACGCCGUCGUCCCCUGCGUUCUCCUUGUUCUCCUCCUCGUGGUCUAUCCAAGGCCGAUGAAGCGGGGGCUGAAAGGGCGCCGGUGUGGCAGAGCUCUUCCGGUUAUUGUCGGAGUUCAAUUGAAACUGAGGACUUAUUCUAUCGGCCAAGGAAGACGAGCUGCUGACGCCGCUGUCGUCGAAACUUCCGCUUUCGCUGGCGACCCGUUUUGCCCGCUGACGCUGAUCCUCGUCGAAGACCUGGGGCAGCAGAGGGUUCGAAGCAGAUUCCAAGGAGGACAUGUUUUCCUCGUCGUCCUCUUCCCGUACUCCAGCGUGAUGCGGGAGGUGAUCCUCGUCAACUUCCGACGAAUCGAAGCUCUGCAUUUUUCUCUUGCAACGCGACUGACCCGUCUCACGGAAUCCCUUGGCGAACGGGUUGUUAUCGAUUUUCAAUUUCGUGAUGUUCUCGUUCUGUGAAAUUAACGGGUCAAAACGAGGCUCAGAAAUUGUUUCACUAGUCGCGAUAGAAAUUAAGGGAAAACGAAUUGACGUACACUUUUUAAGGGGCAUUUACCUGGUAUGCGGUAACCGCGAUAAACUCCGUUUCCGGAAAACAGAAGGACGAGGCUGGCUGCGUGAAGAGCAAUGUCAGCCUGGAUACAUCGUCACACCUAACAAUCCAAACCGUAGGAAUGUACUUGUG